rnacentral:lncRNA from 1 species
AUGGGAGAACUAAAUGGAGCAGAAAGAGGGAGUGAUAUGCCUGCCCAUGGGGUCAUAAGGUGGAAUUAAGGAUCAGGUUCUUCCAAAUCUUGGUCUUGUACUUCUUCCUGCAGACAAGUUGCCUUUAAAGCUCGUGAAUUAUGAGAGUAAAAGCUUCAGUUAGUGAGGUCAGAAAGAUGCUCUGCUUUAAAGCUGUGCUGUCCUGGCAACGCUAAGGGAUCUUCCACUUCAGGAGUGCCACGGAGCUGCUUUGUCACAAACUGGUAAAUAACUUCAGAAAACACCGUGUCCUUUGCUGUGCUGUGGGAAAGACCCUGGCACUUGUCUGCAUGUAGUUCUGCAGAUCAGCUCUUUCCAUCCAGGCUGUUACCAGCGUGUUUGUUCUCUUAUCCUUUGCCUCAGGUGGAUGGUGGUAUUAUUUCUGCAUUCCUUACAUUUCUUUCUUGAGACUGGGAACAUGGAUUCUCUUGGCAAAGAUUGUGUUCUGGGAGGAUUUGUUUCACGUUAUGGUACUUCUUUAAGGAAGGCGUAGAAGGAUUUGGAGUUGAUGCAUGCAUGGGAUUUGUAGGGAAGAAAUCAGCAACCUUAUGCCUUUGGACCCGUGAUUCCUUACCACCAGGAUCAGCCAGAGAGGCCAAAGGCUGAAUGAUGUUUUGAGGCUGAGUGUUCCUUCCCUGGAUGAUCCGAUGGACACGCAGCAUGAUUUACUUGUGGGCAGGAGAUGGAGAGCCCAUAGCAAUGUUGUCCAUGCUGCAUGCACCCACGGGCGUGUUGGUUUAACUGAUUGGUUCAGUAUUUGUUGUUCUAUUGCUUGAUUCACUUAUUGAUUACUUUUUCUUUGUUCUUGGAAGACGUUUCUUUCACAUAUUAAAGCAUACCCAGGGUUCCAGCAGCCUCCUGUUCUUCCCUCAAGCUCAAACCUCGUUGCUGCUCCCUGUGUGCCGUUGGAAAUGGGCAGGCACCAUUUGUGGCUGCCUGAAUAUCCUGAGUCACAGAUUACCAGCUGGCAUCCGUGCUGCAGUUUCAUUUCUUCCUUUACGACUGCACUCCCUAGAGGAGGCUUGAACAAUUGCAGUUGUCAGCUAGAGCGCAUUGUGUGCUCCUGCCUGAGUCGCACAAUUGGUGGACAACCUCUGACUACGUCUGUGGGCCAAAUACCUGCGUUGCGAAGAUGGCAAUCUGAUGUCUUCAUUAAAUAAUUGCUGGAGACAGGUGAUGAUUCUGGUAGUGCUCUAAAAGGAAGAUAAAUUGCGUGCAAAUGAAUGAAGUAUUAAGGACGUAGACAGGUGAUGAAAGGCAAACUGGUAACUCCCUGCCCUGGCACAGCUCUGCUAGCAGUAACACGGGCACACCGUACAGGUUAUUGGUUCCGUGUCACGCUGUGUUUGUUAUCCUGCCUGUGCAGCGUCUCAAAGCAAGGCUGCUGAAGCUCAGCAGGGAAAGAAUGCAACAUGUAACUGUGUUAUUCCAUCUCACACCAGUGUUUUCACUAGGUAAUGCUUACUGCUAGUCUUGUGCAUAGCUCUGGGGGAAGCUGAAACACAGAACACUUCACUGAGCCUUCUGAUCCAACAGGCCUUGACAUAUUGUUGCUGGACACAUCUGUGUCUGAACUGAGCUGCAGCUCCGUUGUGUCCUGAAAAAAAUAACAAUAUAUUAAACUUUAUUAUUCUGUCUGCGCCUUUGCCACAUAUUGACCAAAAAGUCAAUUUCUUACUAAACUAGUUUUAAUUUACAUGCUGUAAAAUUUUAUUAGUUAAUGGUCAGCUGAUAGGAGCAGGCUGUGGGUUGUGGUGUGAGAACAGAACUCUUGAGGAGAAUCUAGAAGACAGGGAGGGGGAAUGCAAGAUGGACCUUGAAGUCUGAGUUGAGGGCAUUCUGGUUCCUCUUCACUACAUGACAGGCUUGCACCAAGCGGGACAGUGAUAUUAACAGUCCUGCAUCUAUCUGGAGUGUCCUGGGAAGACACACACCACAGCUGAAGACAGCAGCAGUCCUAAGAGGGGUUUUCUGGGGAGGGAUGGCUGUCAGAUGUUUAAUAACUUGUGUAUAUGGUUACUCACUUGCUCCUCCUUUGUCUGUCUGACUCACCCAUCCCUGUCUGAACGCAGCAGUUCAGUAUUCUCUUUUAUCUCCCUUCAUUUAUCUCACACUUCCCAUCCUUCAAGCUUCCUUUUGUAUCUAGGGAUUUAAUUCUGU